AUGCGAGCUCGCCAAGCUCCCAGAGUCGAGCCAAGCGGGCGGAGCAGACGGCAGAGCCAGAGAGAGAACCAAAAGCGAGAGUCGAGGGGCUCUGGGGGUGCCGGAAGACGCCGGAGCUGAGAGCUGAGGAUGGGGAAGCGGAGGCUCCAAGAGCUGAAAUGUUCAAGUCACACUGAGGGCAGCGGAGACGCUGGGCUCCAGACGCAGGGCUGCCUGGCUCCGGAGCCCCACUUCUGGGGAUACACCAACGCAGAGCUGACGGAGUUUUUUGGCCACAAGGCGUGUGGGAUCUGAGCUCCCAACCAGGGACUGAACCUGUACCGUCUGCUUUGGAAGGCGAAGUCGUAACCACUGGACCACCAGGGAAGUCCCUCUCUUUUCUUUAUACCUUAAAAAGUUGAUGUAUCUGAAGCCCAAAACGUAAAGACUUUAGUUGAGGGGCCAUUUGCUAUCGCCCCCCUUGCCUUUGUUUCAGGUUCCCGGGAGCCUGAUCA